rnacentral:rRNA from 1 species
UCACACGACCGUACCGCAAACCGACACUGGUGCGCGAGAUGAGUAUUCUAAGGCGCUUGAGAGAACUCAGGAGAAGGAACUCGGCAAAUUGACACCGUAACUUCGGAAGAAGGUGUGCCUUUAGUAGGUGAACCAUUUACUUGGGGAGCCCAAUGAGGCUGCAAAAAAUCGGUGGCUGCAACUGUUUAUUAAAAACACAGCACUCUGCUAAGACGAAAGUCGACGUAUAGGGUGUGACGCCUGCCCGGUGCUGGAAGAUUAAAUGAUGGGGUGCAAGCUCUUGAUUGAAGUCCCAGUAAACGGCGGCCGUAACGAUAACGGUCCUAAGGUAGCGAAAUUCCUUGUCGGGUAAGUUCCGACCUGCACGAAUGGCGUAAUGAUGGCCACACUGUCUCCUCCUGAGACUCAGCGAAGUUGAAAUGUUUGUGAUGAUGCAAUCUCCCCGCGGAAAGACGGAAAGACCCCAUGAACCUUUACUGUAGCUUUGUAUUGGACUUUGAACAGAUCUGUGUAGGAUAGGUGGGAGGCUUUGAAGUGUGGUCGCUAGAUCGCAUGGAGCCAACGUUGAAAUACCACCCUGGUGUGUUUGAGGUUCUAACCUAGGUCCAUUAUCUGGAUCGGGGACAGUGCAUGGUAGGCAGUUUGACUGGGGCGGUCUCCUCCCAAAGUGUAACGGAGGAGUUCGAAGGUACGCUAGGUACGGUCGGACAUCGUGCUAAUAGUGCAAUGGCAUAAGCGUGCUUAACUGCGAGACUGACAAGUCGAGCAGAUGCGAAAGCAGGACAUAGUGAUCCGGUGGUUCUGUAUGGAAGGGCCAUCGCUCAACGGAUAAAAGGUACUCUGGGGAUAACAGGCUGAUACCGCCCAAGAGUUCAUAUCGACGGCGGUGUUUGGCACCUCGAUGUCGGCUCAUCUCAUCCUGGGGCUGUAGCCGGUCCCAAGGGUAUGGCUGUUCGCCAUUUAAAGAGGUACGUGAGCUGGGUUUAAAACGUCGUGAGACAGUUUGGUCCCUAUCUUCCGUGGGCGCUGCAGAUUUGAGGAAGCCUGCUCCUAGUACGAGAGGACCGGAGUGGACGAACCUCUGGUGUAUCGGUUGUCACGCCAGUGGCAUUGCCGAGUAGCUAAGUUCGGAAGAGAUAACCGCUGAAAGCAUCUAAGCGGGAAACUCGUUUCAAGAUUAGAUCUGCCGGGGCCUUGAGCCCCCUAAAGAGUCGUUCAAGACCAGGACGUUGAUAGGUCAGGUGUGGAAGUGAAAAA